rnacentral:rRNA from 2 species
UCCUACGGGAGGCAGCAGUGGGGAAUAUUGCACAAUGGGCGCAAGCCUGAUGCAGCCAUGCCGCGUGUGUGAAGAAGGCCUUCGGGUUGUAAAGCACUUUCAGUAGGGAGGAAGGUUCAUGCGUUAAUAGCGUAUGGAUUUGACGUUACCUACAGAAGAAGCACCGGCUAACUCCGUGCCAGCAGCCGCGGUAAUACGGAGGGUGCGAGCGUUAAUCGGAAUUACUGGGCGUAAAGCGCAUGCAGGUGGUUUGUUAAGUCAGAUGUGAAAGCCCGGGGCUCAACCUCGGAAUUGCAUUUGAAACUGGCAGACUAGAGUACUGUAGAGGGGGGUAGAAUUUCAGGUGUAGCGGUGAAAUGCGUAGAGAUCUGAAGGAAUACCGGUGGCGAAGGCGGCCCCCUGGACAGAUACUGACACUCAGAUGCGAAAGCGUGGGGAGCAAACAGGAUUAGAUACCCUGGUAGUCCACGCCGUAAACGAUGUCUACUUGGAGGUUGUGGCCUUGAGCCGUGGCUUUCGGAGCUAACGCGUUAAGUAGACCGCCUGGGGAGUACGGUCGCAAGAUUAAAACUCAAAUGAAUUGACGGA